AUCCUUCGGUCAUAUAUUCCCACAUGUAGCGGGCGUGUCCGGAUGAUAGUCAACGACCAAGCCGACCGAAAUUCCCCAUUUCCCCACCUCACCUCCUUCCUGCAAGCUCCCUCCUCCAUCUCACCUCCUUCGAUUCUACCUCGUCGGCGGCAAAUAGUCCGGUGGAAAGACAAAUCGAGGGAGGUGGUGGUGGUUUGCGUUCGUCGUCCGGCGCCGGGGCAGCAACAACAACAACAGAUCGACGAGCUCGGGGCAGCGGUAAGAGGAUCUGGUUCUGGGAGCAUCGACAGCCAAGAGGGGCUACCCGGCGGCGAGAAGGGCUAGCGAGGCAGGUCUUCGUCGGCGGGCAACUACUGGCCGCGGAAGGAGGCGCUGGCGCUGCUCAAGAUCCGGCCCAAGGUGGACGCCGCGUUCCGAGAGGCCGCGCUCGCCUUGUUGUCCGUGGCGUUUGCCGCCGCGCGCACCAGCUCCUCAUCGGAGGAAGGGUAGUGUCGGUAGACUGCGGCCGCCGCGCGGCACGUCAAUCGGUAUGGAAACACGCCGUACACGCUUGAUACGAUACAGUCAGUUGUGCCACCACCGGACGAGCACUGCGCGGGUCCGGUGAUGGGCUAGCGACGGCUCACUCGGGAGGAAAUCUCCAGGGUCACCUUCUCGAGGAUUGUCAAGAGGAAAUCGACGGAAGACUUCUCUGGCGUGCCAUACAACAUGACUGCUGCUCAGCUGCCUCUUACCAACAUGGAUGUAUUAUUAUAUCACAGGAAGUACUUUUGCAUCCCUCGAAGUUUUGCUUCACAAUAGACAGUGACAGCAGGGAGAUGCCAAAUUUUCAUCUACGGGUUACAAAGCAAGCGAUGUGUUUUGUUGCAUUAAAAGGACGAUGGUGCAGUUGUAUAUAUGAUGUUCUUUUUUGGGUUUUGCCAACCGCAUGUGUGAAUGCAUU